UUCAACGGAGAGUUUGAUCCUGGCUCAGGACGAACGCUGGCGGCGUGCUUAACACAUGCAAGUCGAGCGGUAAGGCCCUUCGGGGUACACGAGCGGCGAACGGGUGAGUAACAC
rnacentral:rRNA from 2 species